rnacentral:rRNA from 1 species
UUGAUCCUGGCUCAGGAUGAACGCUGGCGGCGUGCCUAAUACAUGCAAGUCGAGCGAACGGACGAGAAGCUUGCUUCUCUGAUGUUAGCGGCGGACGGGUGAGUAACACGUGGAUAACCUACCUAUAAGACUGGGAUAACUUCGGGAAACCGGAGCUAAUACCGGAUAAUAUUUUGAACCGCAUGGUUCAAAAGUGAAAGACGGUCUUGCUGUCACUUAUAGAUGGAUCCGCGCUGCAUUAGCUAGUUGGUAAGGUAACGGCUUACCAAGGCAACGAUGCAUAGCCGACCUGAGAGGGUGAUCGGCCACACUGGAACUGAGACACGGUCCAGACUCCUACGGGAGGCAGCAGUAGGGAAUCUUCCGCAAUGGGCGAAAGCCUGACGGAGCAACGCCGCGUGAGUGAUGAAGGUCUUCGGAUCGUAAAACUCUGUUAUUAGGGAAGAACAUAUGUGUAAGUAACUGUGCACAUCUUGACGGUACCUAAUCAGAAAGCCACGGCUAACUACGUGCCAGCAGCCGCGGUAAUACGUAGGUGGCAAGCGUUAUCCGGAAUUAUUGGGCGUAAAGCGCGCGUAGGCGGU